rnacentral:rRNA from 1 species
CUCGAAAUCCUCUUGCGGGGGGAUUCAGUCAGGAAUCCGCGGUGCCCCUUCGUCUCGAGCGACCCCUAAGUAAGGGCGUUCGGGAUCGGGGUUUGUUUUCGUGGGAGCCUGACGCAUUUCCUCCCGCACCAAGGACGCCGCAGCCGGUUGGGUAGCUGCGCGUGUCGGCCAUGAGGGCGGGCAACGGAAGGUGGCCGGAGUCCGUGUCCCCUUAAAAGGACGGCGGUCUCCGGUUGUUAGCCAGCCCGUCCGUGGCACGACACCCGACCGAGGUUUCGGAGGUCCUUUUUGGGACCUUGCCACCCCCUCUAUUAUUUGUUUAAUAGAGCGGGCCGCCAGACAGGUGUGUUCCUGCGUUGGUCAUUUUCAGUCUCCGCACUGGGUGGCUCGCAGGGUAAAAGAAACUCGGCAGCAAUUUCGGUUGUUGUUGUUUGUUUUUACCUCCGAUGGUCUGGAUCGGCUCCGAUGUUGUUGGGGUUUAAAUGGCUAGCGGCGAGUAGGUCGGUCACCCACCCGACCCGUCUUGAAACACGGACCAAGGAGUCUAACAUGUGCGCGAGUCAUGGGGUCUUGCUUAGGCCCAAAGGCGCAAUGAAAGUGAAAAGUGACGUCGAAAAAAAGAAUACUUUUUUUUCUGACGGCUCGGUUGGGAUUCGCACCCGAUUUGGUGGCGGGUGCGAAGCACCAACGACCCGCCCUAUCCUAUUUCAUUAGGUUGGACGGAGUCCGAGCGCACACGUUGGGACCCGAAAGAUGGUGAACUAUGCCUGGGCAGGACGAAGCCAGAGGAAACUCUGGUGGAGGUCCGCAGCGGUU